rnacentral:rRNA from 1 species
CGCAUGAGUGGCGGACGGGUGAGUAACGCGUGGGCAACCUGCCCUGUACAGGGGGACAACACUUAGAAAUAGGUGCUAAUACCGCAUAACCGGGGGAGCCGCAUGGCAACCCCCCCUGAAAACUCCGGUGGUACAGGAUGGGCCCGCGUCUGAUUAGCUGGUUGGCAGGGUAACGGCCUACCAAGGCGACGAUCAGUAGCCGGCCUGAGAGGGCGGACGGCCACACUGGGACUGAGACACGGCCCAGACUCCUACGGAAGGCAGCAG